UACGGAGGGUGCGAGCGUUGUUCGGAAUCACUGGGCGUAAAGGGCGUGUAGGCGGUCCGCUAAGUCUGUUGUGAAAGCCCGGGGCUCACCCCCGGAAGGGCAUUGGAAACUGGCGGACUCGAGUCCCGGAGAGGAAGGUGGAAUUCCUGGUGUAGCGGUGAAAUGCGUAGAUAUCAGGAGGAAUACCGGUGGCGAAGGCGGCCUUCUGGACGGUGACUGACGCUGAGACGCGAAAGCGUGGGGAGCAAACAGG
rnacentral:rRNA from 1 species